rnacentral:RNase_P_RNA from 1 species
UGAGCAAAUCAGAUGGUCGCGGGCAUUUUGUGUCCGAGGAAAGUCCGAGCUCCGUAGGGCAGGGUGCUGGGUAAUACCCAGUGAGGGUGACCUCAAGGAAAGUGCAACAGAAAUAUACCGCCUAACAGAUGCUCUAGCAUUUGUUAUGGUAAGGGUGGAAAGGUGAGGUAAGAGCUCACCAGCGGGAUGGCGACUUCCCGGCUCUGUAAACCCCACCUGGAGCAAGACCAAAUAGGGGAGCUUAUACGGCGGCCCGUCGUGCUCCCGGGUAUGGUCGCUUGAGGUGUCAGGCAACUGGCAUCCUAGAUAGAUGACCAUCUAAUACAGAACUCGGCUUAUAGAUUUGCUCAUUUA